rnacentral:rRNA from 1 species
UACGAAGGGGGCUAGCGUUGUUCGGAAUUACUGGGCGUAAAGGGCGCGUAGGCUGUGCUGUAAGUCAGGCGUGAAAGGCCCGGGCUCAACCUGGGAAUGGCGCUUGAUACUGCGGCGCUGGAAGGCGGGAGAGGAUGGCGGAAUUCCCAGUGUAGAGGUGAAAUUCGUAGAUAUUGGGAAGAACACCGGUGGCGAAGGCGGCGACCUGGUCCAUUACUGACGCUGAGGCGCGACAGCGUGGGGAGCAAACAGG